rnacentral:rRNA from 1 species
CUCCUCGGGCUAACCUACUCUCUUUUGGGUUCAGCUGCGAGAGAGAAAGGGGGAGGAGCGGCAGCGACGUAGGACCGCAGCAGCAACGCAGCAGGAGGAGGGGUAGGGUGGAGAAGGGAAGGGCAGCGGAUGGGAGGGACGGAGCGGAGAAGAGAGGGAAGGGCAGCGGGUGGGAGGGGCGUAGCGGAGAAGAGGAAACGCAGCGGAUCCAACCCGUCUCGGCGACCCGAGUAGAAGGAGCGACCGGCGGCGAGGGUAGCGGUGUGGCGUGCUCUCCCACUUCUCCUGCUUGGUUCCGCGGAGGAUGUAGCUCGGGAGGAGUCAAACAAGGCCUAGACUGGCGUGUGAAGUGCAGGCGGUAGGCAACAUACAGCAAGCGAGCCAACGGCGGUACCAUUGGGAACGAGUUCAGCACCUCCCCGCCGACCAUCGCCACUUACCUCCUCUAGGUGGUGACCACCGUUCCUUUUGCUCAGUUGUAGCUACGGUAGGCCGCGGAGGCGGGGCGCUGGGAUUAAACUACUUCUUACUACGGGUAACCAACCGUAAAUACUAUAUCGAAGGCUGCAGCCUCCAAGGUAUCUUAAACACUUCUCUUCAUGUAGUUAUCUUUCUGGAAAGAAGACCAUGAAUAGCUACAUCUAACCCGUACCUAACAACGGAGUGUAAAGAAAGUUCGUCAGUGCUGAAACCGACCAACCCCCAAAGAACAGACGAGUCAAAACACGUCGGACAUGAACCGGAUCGCGAGCGACUCUUGGUCUUCGAUCCCGGUAAGUACAUCGACGAUGGGUACACGUCGUUCGACGAGUUGGUUCCACUCUAUACGAUUAGAGGGUCAAUGACGAAACAGUCGACCUACCACACUAAAAUGAAGUAAUCACCCUCACCCUCACAACAAGGAGACAGGUUCCCUAAGUGAUAGAAGUCACUCACGUUAGUAAAACAAAUUUACCUCCACAAUCUAGAUUUAAAUGUAACUGACGUAGUGUGAGAUUACAGAAAACCAAUCUAGUUGGACAUCUUGUUUGAUAUACGACCGGUAGUAGUACAAAAUCGGAAAAUCCAUAUAAUCUAUUCAUAUAGAUUCUUUACCGAUCACAGAACACUCCUAACUCUUUUCAUCACCAAACACAAUGACACUUACUAGUAUGUUUAAUACAACCUAAACCAAGAAUACACGUAUACGAAAAACUAUAGAAGGAAACCGGCCAAUCACAGAUAGGUAAUAUAAUAAUAUAACACAGAUACCACUUUUGAUUGGAUUGUCCACAACCCCUUGCAACGUACCUUUUGUUUUUUUUAGGAUGCGUGUGCGUUCUAGAUAGGUACCUCUACGUAUCGAUGCUCUCCCCCUCUCGUAGAUGUAUUGGAACAUCUAGCGAUUCGCCUUCGCAAAUAGUUGCGCCAACUACAUCAGCGUGUAGAAGUGCUAGGCAGGGCUAGUUCAUGGCUUACAUGCAGUGGAGACGCAAGUCGUGUGCAAGUCGAGCUACUACAGGAGCGAAAGAGCUAGGUCGUUUUCUCUGCUUCAUCAUCUAAUCAAGGCUGUCGUGCUGCCUCACCCCUACCACCACCACUUUGAUAGGCAUCCCGAAACGGUUCGUGUUG